UGGAGAGUUUGAUCCUGGCUCAGGACGAACGCUGGCGGCGUGCCUAAUACAUGCAAGUCGAGCGAGGGUCUUCGGACCCUAGCGGCGGACGGGUGAGUAACACGUAGGCAACCUGCCUGUAAGACUGGGAUAACAUAGGGAAACUUAUGCUAAUACCGGAUAGGGUUUUGCUUCGCCUGAAGCGAAACGGAAAGAUGGCGCAAGCUAUCACUUACAGAUGGGCCUGCGGCGCAUUAGCUAGUUGGUGAGGUAAUGGCUCACCAAGGC
rnacentral:rRNA from 1 species